rnacentral:SRP_RNA from 1 species
CCGUGCUAGAUGGGGAGGUAGCGGUUCCUUGUAACCUGUAAUCCGCUAUAACAGGAUUGAUGCCUAUAUAAGGGAAAGAUAGUGAAGACUGACUUUUAUUAAUCUAUGUUGAUGAAAGGGUCUUGUGCAAUAGGAAUUUGUGAACUGUGUCAGGUCUGGAAGGAAGCAGCACUAAGCAAACACUCCUAUGUGCCACGAGGUAGCCUUUUUUGAGUAGGUUGUAGAAGUAACGUUUGUUAUCUAUUUUCGAAUAUAGGUGCACGG